AGGGAUGUAGCUCACUUGGUAGAGUGUUUGUCUAGCAUGCAUGAAGCCCUAGGUUCAAAUCCCAGCACCUCCC
rnacentral:tRNA from 1 species